rnacentral:rRNA from 1 species
UACGUAGGGUGCAAGCGUUGUCCGGAAUUAUUGGGCGUAAAGAGCUCGUAGGCGGUUUGUCGCGUCUGCUGUGAAAACUCGGGGCUUAACCCCGGGCCUGCAGUGGGUACGGGCAGACUGGAGUGCGGUAGGGGAGACUGGAAUUCCUGGUGUAGCGGUGAAAUGCGCAGAUAUCAGGAGGAACACCGGUGGCGAAGGCGGGUCUCUGGGCCGUAACUGACGCUGAGGAG